AGAGAGAAAGAAGAGCAAAGACUUGAAAGCCACAAUCUUGAAACUACUGGAGACUUAGAAGAACCAAUGAACACAAUCCAACAGGAAGAGAAAGCAGACAGAAGGCUGCAUGCUGCUGGCCAAGCUGAGGAGGUGGUAAGGACUCCUCUGCAAGAGCUUCUCACGAGGGCAGAGCUUAGCCAGACUGGAACCUGAAGGACCUGGGACUCUCCACUGGCUGCCUUGGUGGGACUCGAACUCCACGGCGUGGCCCAUCGCCCAUCAGAUAGUAUUGUAGGGGAUUGGACCACAGCUCCCCUUUGAUAAUUUCAGCUAUUCUGUCGAAUUCUAGGAGACUGUGGUCUGAGAACCAGUUGAAGAAACUGGGAAUCGUGUUCCCCUCCCUAUUCCUGUGGAUGUGGGCCUGGGGUUCCUGACCCCGGUGCCAGCGGAUUGGCGUAGAGAGAGACACCACUCGACCUGAGGAUCUGCGCUCAUAUUCUUUGACCAGCCCCUCAUUUCGAAAGUAGGGGUUGCUUUGGAAGAUGAACUUAAAUUUGCACCCUACUCUUGGCUGCUUAAGCUCCUCCACCUCUAAAUUGAUCAUGUACCUCAUCAUGUCUUCAUCUUGGCCACUUAUCAUUGGUGACAGCUGGGGGUGGUUCCGAAAAGCGGUGACCCAGAAACCUGGGAUGUUUUGGAUGAUGAAACUUCUGCGCUGCAUGUGGAGCCUUCUCAUCCGUCCAAAUUUGCGUUCCAGCUGGAGGAAGGCCCUGUCAGCCUGCGCAUUUACAUUUGACAGCUCUUGAUCGAUGGCCUCCAGCGAGUCCAUGCAAUUGAUCUUCGGAGCUCUGGGACGAGACUCCUCUUUCCCUCCUCCAGCUACCUUUUUUUCCUUCUGUACCCCCUUCUUUUCCUGCAUUGCCGCUCCUGCUUCUCCCUCCUUGCCGGUGGCCACAGAGAUGGCGCACUUGGUAGUCGUCAUUUCCUUGGUCUUCUUCGGCCCCGGCCCCGGCAUCUGCUGAGACCCCAGGCCCACCGCCCCACAGGCUUCCAGAGCUUUCGGUUUAGCAGGGCUGUGCGGCCCUUCAAGCUGACAGCCAUUUUUACUGCUGUCGUCGGCUGCCACAGGGGCUGAGCGUGCGUCCCCGCCCUUUGAUGGAGACUGAGCAUCCUCCAGACCUCUCGCUGCCGCAGCACAACUAUUCUCAGCCACUCGGAAGCAGAGCUCAGGGCCGCAGUGCUCGGAAUCCGGGGACGCGCCUCCAUCCGCACCGGCCUCACCUGCAGCCUCCAUCUCCCGCACUGUGUCGGUUUCCUCUUGGAGCCCCUGGUCCUGCUUCAGAUCCAGAUCUUCGGAGGCAUGGGAGGGGGUCGUGGUGUUAGCGAGAGGUAGCUCGUUGGCCUCUUCCACGCCGUUCAUUUUGGCAGCUGACAGGCCUGCAGAGGAGCUUUCCUUGUCCUCUGCAGAGCAGCGCAAAACCGCAGUGAGUGCUUAGCUCCACCCCUUUUCCUUCUGGGCUGGUGCUACCAUGGCAACCUGUGACGUCAGGAUACCAGCUGCAACUAACCGUAGCGCGAGAACUGGCAAUCCAGAAAUAGAGAAGCGAAUUCACCGGUUCACAGGCCUUCCUUAUUUCGGACACAGAUUCGAUUCAUAGCGGCUACUGAGGAGUUGCGCAGAAUCAGAUUUGGGGGGCAAAAAGUGUCGUCGCUGUUUUUAUUUUCAAGCAAACAAGACAUUCCUAAGGUUAAUUUCGGUUUCUGCAGAGAUUUUGAUGUUUGUAUACAUUGGCCGACAUCUACAAAGCAAUUGGAUAUAUCUUCACUUUUAAACAGUGAAUUGCUCCUUAUUUACAGGUGGCCACAAUGCAUGCCAUAUAGACAGUUAGCCCUUGAGAAUUAGUGAUCCUCCUUUGCCUUGGUUUAUGAUCUUAGGUUCUGCUUCAUGCCUGUGGGUAUGGAGCCAACUAACAUUUGCCCAUAUUUGCCUUUGUGAAGGUAGAAUCAAUCAGGGUUUUUCAGACACUUAAGCAACUGUGUCUUUAAAAUAAUCUACUUUAAAAAAAGAAGGGUCAUUCAUUCAAGUCAAUUUAGAAAAUGUUUUAUUUAUUUACUCAAUCUUAAUCAUCACGGUCUCUCAGUUUGCUAAAGUCUGAGAAUGCGGAUGUUAAUCCUUAGGGAUUGAAAAAAACAGAAACUUAAAUUUUGCAUAUUUAAUGUUUGAAUUUCUAUUAGAACAAAGCUUUAGAGUUCUUUGCCCUGGGAAAUUGAUUCCUCCCAGAAUAUCGUUACACUACAAUAAGAGUCUUUGAAUAGGGGUUUAAAGAAAAAAACAAAAACAAAAAACAUUACCCUAAGAACUCUAAUGAAGGAAAUAAUGACUCCUGGUUCACCUAAGACUGAAGUGAUGAGAACAACACAUGGCAUAUCAUGCAGCUUGAUUUUUUUCUUUCUUUCUAUGCCAAAGGUGAGUGUUCUCACUCAAAGACAGUUUUCCAGACUGGCCUCUUCCUAGCCCUAUCUCCCAAAAAAGGAUAGAAAAAAAGAAGGAAAAUCAAUUGAUUAAUUAUCUAAAUAAAAUUAAAAUGUACACACAAAUACCAAUUCUUUUUCUGUCCCCCUUUCCUUUUUCUCUUAACAAAUAUUCUUUUUGCCUUACUGAGGUUAAAUAAAUGUAUCGCUAACUUCCUAUGUAAACACAUAAACACUGCUAUAAUAA
ensembl:lincRNA Gm47512 predicted gene, 47512